rnacentral:rRNA from 1 species
CUACGGGUGGCACCAGUGGGGAAUAUUGCACAAUGGGCGCAAGCCUGAUGCAGCCAUGCCGCGUGUAUGAAGAAGGCCUUCGGGUUGUAAAGUACUUUCAGCGGGGAGGAAGGGAGUAAAGUUAAUACCUUUGCUCAUUGACGUUACCCGCAGAAGAAGCACCGGCGAACUCCGUGCCAGCAGCCGCGGUAAUACGGAGGGUGCAAGCGUUAAUCGGAAUUACUGGGCGUAAAGCGCACGCAGGCGGUUUGUUAAGUCAGAUGUGAAAUCCCCGGGCUCAACCUGGGAACUGCAUCUGAUACUGGCAAGCUUGAGUCUCGGAGAGGGGGGUAGAAUUCCAGGUGUAGCGGUGAAAUGCGUAGAGAUCUGGAGGAAUACCGGUGGCGAAGGCGGCCCCCUGGACGAAGACUGACGCUCAGGUGCGAAAGCGUGGGGAGCAAACAGGAUUAGAUACCCUCGUAGUC